UAUAAGAUAAUUUCGAGUAUAUCUGAUUUAAUCUGAUUUGAGCACCAACAACUUCCUCGUAUAUAUUUAAUAGCCGGUAAUGCCCCAUUGGUUGAUCAUGGGGAGCAAUCCCUGUUCAAUAUCAGCAGUACUUCACACCACCCCUGUAUGCUGUAUAUACAUGGCACAAACUCUAACAAAAACCAAACCAAAUUGAUAAUGGAAAACCAACGCCAAGAAACCCCUCCUCUCCUCCAAGACCUCAAGGUCACGAUCCAGAAUUCUUCUUUGGUUUUUCCCAUCCAAGAAACUGAAAGAAAAUCCAUCUUCUAGUCAAAUUAUAAGAACGGUAAAGGAUAUCUAGUUUGGUGAUCAUGAUCGGUAUACAGUAAGCAGGGCUUUGAAGAUUAAUGUUGCCUUGCCUUCCACAUUAUGGCCAUCAGAGUUACGACAAUAUAAAAGAAAGUGUGUUUAGAGACGCACUGAUGGUCAUUUUCACGACUUCUUCCGUUUGAUUAGGGUCUAAUUUCAAUUAUCUCAGGUUAGGUUUCGAUUUCUCUGUUAAGAAUUCGGAAAAUUGUAUGGAUUCAUUAGGGAUUCCUCUUGAUUCUAUGCAUAAGAGGAGGGCGGCUGGAACAGAGAGAGCUUAGACAAAGAAGAGAGUCUGAAGAUUAGGAAUCUUUGUAUAAAAAGGCGAAAAAAAAAGCGGCAGAUGCAGACUGGUGUUGAUGCUGUCUCUAAUGGUCGUAAUCUUCGUACUGUUAACUUUGUCCAAUGAGCUAUUGAUGUGAUUAUUUUUUUUAAAGAGAAUUGGUCGAGUAUUGUCCUCUGCCCCAUCCCUCCCUUCCCCUGUUGUAUGCAAGUGUGCCCUUUUGUUGAUGUUUGGCAGAGUGCAAUAAAAAAAAGUUCCCUCCAAAUAUAAUGAAAAAAAACAGAGGUUUUGUGCUCUUGAAACACAGUGCUGCCCAGCAAUGUCAUGUGACGAGACUUUCUAUACUGUCCCUUUAUCAUUUGAUAACACGGAAUGCACGACAACUUUCGUGUUCCAGAAUUGAGCAAUACACUUCUAAUGAUGAACUGUAAAUGAUUGUAGACAAGGAAUCUUUUUUUCUAGUAAGAAAGUAGCAACUCCCAGAGCAGAUAAAUCUUGAUUUGGGUUUUCCCAUCUAGUUUCCAUAGAGGCAAUCGUGUCACUUUUUGAGCUAUAUUGGGCCAGUCAGCUUUGAAACAUGCAUGUCCCUUGCAAUGUCUUGAUGAGAUUAUUAGACGAAUCAGUUAAACGCCUCAUUGUUGUUGUAUAAUGUUUUUCUUUAAAUGGCCUAAGCAACUGAUCAAGUAGCUGUGCUCUGAUGUUAAUAUAAGCACAGACACGUUUUUCAAGCUGGACUGAAGCGAAUGGUUUUUGACAGUGGGACUGGAUGCUAUUCAAGAUAUUAGCAGCUUGCUUUUUCCCAUUUCUAAGAUUGUCUUGCAGGUAUGUGCGAAACUACCAGGAAAAGGAGAGGUUGGCACGGAGGUAUUGAGGUCAGGCGCAUAGUCAAGGGGAUGUCUGCUUUUUCUCGAAGGCAUCAUAAUUUUUUCUUGUUCUGGAUGUAUUUCACUAGCUGCCUGGCAGUUUUCAAAACUUGCAAGCUUCAUCUGUACUGAGUGAUUUCAUCUUUCAGGCUAAAGAAUGGGAAGCCUUUCUCGUGUUGCGUCAAUCCAAUUUUAUUUCAUCUGGGAGAAGCCUGAUAAUGAGCAAGAAACAUCCAGUUUCUGCUAAAGGGUGUGUUGAGCUCAUAACUCAUUAAAUUGUGGAAAAAACCAGUCUCUUGCGUGUCCUCAUGGGAGUAGGCACCAGUCUCGAGGAGCAAGAGACUCAUAGACGGUGGAUUGGUUAAGGGAACCCACCAUAGCCGUAGUGAACUCGUUAGCCUACCUGAAACUAUCUAAAUGAUGGGUCUCAAUUCGAGAAGAAGAGCUGACAGAGCAAUGCCGCGUGGAUUUAUAUAGUCGAACUUGCUCCUGAGCUGUCAGUGAUGUUGCUUGUUUUUCCCCGGUUGUGACCCAAUUGUAGUGUGUUUUUUUUAUACGCACCGUUUUAUUUAUGUUUUACUAACGGGUAGUCUAGUGAUGAGGACUGCAUAAGAGGAGUUAAUGGUAAAAAAAAGAGGCCACGACAAGCUUGCCAA